GCCUUUCUGGUGUAAUAGACAGCACACUCGAUGCGUAUUCGAGAGGUCCACGGUUCGAAUCCCGGCGAGGGCA
rnacentral:tRNA from 1 species